GCCUGGGUGGCUCAGUCAGUUGAGCAUUGGCCUUCAACUCAGGUCAUGAUCCCAGGGUCCUGGGAUUGAGUCCCACCUCGGGCU
rnacentral:tRNA from 1 species